rnacentral:rRNA from 1 species
AAUGGGCGAAAGCCUGACGGAGCAAUGCCGCGUGUGGGAUGAAUCGGUUCGCCGUGUAAACCACUGUCAGGGUGCAGGAACACUGACCGCACCCAGAGGAAGGACCGGCUAAUUCCGUGCCAGCAGCCGCGGUAAUACGGAAGGUCCAAGCGUUAAUCGGAAUCACUGGGCUUAAAGCGUGCGCAGGCGGUCCGGCAGGCAUCUUGUGAAAUCCCACAGCUCAACUGUGGAACUGCAGGGUGAACCGCCGGACUUGAGGCAGGUAGGGGCCGACGGAACUAUGGGUGGAGCGGUGAAAUGCGUAGAUAUCCAUGGGAACGCCAAUGGCGAAGGCAGUCGGCUGGGCCUGUCCUGACGCUCAGGCACGAAAGCGUGGGGAGCGAACGGGAUU